AAUAGAUACCCUGGUAGUCCACGCCGUAAACGAUGAGUGCUAAGUGUUAGAGGGUUUCCGCCCGUUUAGUGCUGCAGCUAACGCAUUAAGCACUCCGCCUGGGGAGUACGGUCGCAAGACUGAAACUCAAAGGAAUUGACGGGGGCCCGCACAAGCGGUGGAGCAUGUGGUUUAAUUCGAAGCAACGCGAAGAACCUUACCAGGUCUUGACAUCCUCUGACAACUCUAGAGAUAGAGCGUUCCCCUUCGGGGGACAGAGUGACAGGUGGUGCAUGGUUGUCGUCAGCUCGUGUCGUGAGAUGUUGGGUUAAGUCCCGCAACGAGCGCAACCCUUGAUCUUAGUUGCCAGCAUUUAGUUGGGCACUCUAAGGUGACUGCCGGUGACAAACCGGAGGAAGGUGGGGAUGACGUCAAAUCAUCAUGCCCCUUAUGACCUGGGCUACACACGUGCUACAAUGGAUGGUACAAAGGGCUGCAAGACCGCGAGGUCAAGCCAAUCCCAUAAAACCAUUCUCAGUUCGGAUUGUAGG
rnacentral:rRNA from 1 species